UUGCGGUUUGUAAACGGACAAUUUUACGAAGAAAUUCACCAUGGUCCUUGCGCCUCCCGAUGACGUCGUCAGAGCGUAGCCUACUGCGCAGCUCAUAUCGCGCAGCUCUUGAUGGCGUAGGCUAAAGCAUCUACAGGUAGGCGUAAUACAGCACCGAUAGCCACUCGACUACUUAAACAUGGGGAAAUGCAAGUUCAAUCACAAAUGGCUAGAAAAGAAUGAAUAUUCUUGGUUAUGGUCGGUGCCUGGCAGCGCUUAUGAAGCUAGCUGCAUUGUAUGUCGGAAGAAUUUCAAACUUGGGACAAUGGGGAUCAGAGCAGUUGAAUCUCACGUACAGAGUAAAAAACAUAAAGACUAUGUAAAAGCACGCCAGCAGCCUGCAAUUGCUAGUUUCUGCUCCACCGUUUCCACCGCAAGCCACGAUGUUAACAGUACAACGCUGAAUGUUACAAUAGGAAAUCCACAGACUGCAACAAGCGUUCCAUCUGACCUCCGAGCAAUCUGUGGCUCUACGCCAACACUCCGAGCAGAGGUGAUUUGGGUGCUGAGGACCGUGACAAGCCACCAUUCAUGCAGGUCUAAUGACGGGAUUGAGGAAGUGUUCAAAGCAAUGUUUCCAGAUUCGGGGCUUGUACAGUCAUUUACCUGUGGAAAAGACAAAACCAGAUACGUAGCUAAAUUUGGAUUGGCGCCAUAUAUAAAAAAAGAGCUCAUCACCGAAGUCCAAAAAUGCGGUGCGUUUGUGCUUAUGUUCGACGAGACACUGAACCAGACAACCAAAACCAAGCAACUGGACUUGCAUGUGCGUUAUUGGUUAAAUGACCACGUCCAGUCUAGAUUCUAUGGAUCACAGUUCAUGGGCCAUGCAACUGCCGAGGACCUACUUCAGCAUUUCAAAGUAAGUAUGCCAUAUAUUUGUAUACCUUUUGUAUAUUAUUAUAUAGUUUACUGAUUUGUGAAGUUAUUAACAACUAUGGAUAUGCCACUAUACAUUAAUUAGACAAAUUGAAAUAAAAUGAAUUAAAAGAAAUUACAAACAGGCAGCUUGAGUUUUAGAAAGGUAGUAGACUCUGGUGUUUACCUGCCAAUAUGUUUAAAUAAUAUAUAGCCUACACUAUGACUAUAGGGGUAGCUGACAUUGCUUACUUUGUGAAAUAGUAUUCAUUCUUUUUUAUCUUAUCCAGUCUGACAUUAAUCUUAAGUAAUGGUGUCAGAAAUGAGACGUGUUGAUUGUUGUAUGGCUAAUAUCUGUAAUGUCUUUUUUUAAUUUCCAGGCGUGUGUGCAGCAGCUUGACCUGAGACAUUUGGUUUCUAUCUCAAUGGAUGGACCAAAUGUCAAUUGGAAGUUUUUUUCAAUGCUCCAAAAGGAGCAUGCAGAGAUAUUGGAAGUGCCCAGCUGAUUGUGGUGGGGAGUUGUGGGCUUCACACACUCCACAAUGCCUUUAAAAGUGGCUUCUGUGUCUGGCAGCUGGAGAAAGUGCUCAGGGCAUUGCAUACACUCUUUCAUAAUACCCCUGCUAGAAGAGAAGAUUUCUGCACUUUGACCAAGACAUCUGUGUUUCCCCUACCGUUCUGUGGGCAUCGCUGGAUAGAAAACCUACCUGUCGUCGACAGGGCUAUUACCAUAUGGCCAAUGAUGGUGAUGUAUGUGGAUGCAGUGAAGCAGAAAAUACUUCCAAACCCCAGAACAUCAUCCUAUGACACUCUGGCAGAGGCACGGAAUGACCCUCUCAUAAUGGCCAAGUUGCACUUCUUCAUGGCUGUCUCUAGGACCUUCACUACCUUUUUGACUAAAUAUCAAACAGAUGAGCCUGUGAUGCCAUUCAUCAGUAAAGAUAUGACUGUUCUCAUGAAGAGCCUACUGAAGAGGUUCAUCAAAGCAGAGAUCCUUAAUGACAUCACAGCACUGCAAAUGGUCAAACUGGACACAACUGCCAAGGAAGCAAGGGCUCGCCUAAAGGACGUGGACGUUGGAUUAGGAGCAGAAGAAGUCCUAAAGGUGAUGUGAUUGUCCAACAAUUUGGAAAUUUCUUGUCUCUGGAGGCGAAAGAUGAAUCAUUCUCCUCUUUCCAACCCAUGCGUACAAGACUGGACGUUUUCUUGCAUGGACACCUCCAUCAAUCCUACCCUGAACUCUGGACUUUCUGCAGGAAACUUCUGCUUCUUUCCCAUAGCCAAGCAACAGUUGAGAGGGGCUUUUCUGUAAAUAAGGAGGUAGAGGCUGAUAACAUGAAGGAGGACACAGUGGUUGCUCAGAGGAUGAUAUGUGACUACGUUUCUGUCUGUGGGGGGGUUCUCAAAGUACCUCUGACUAAGGAGCUUUUGGCAGCUGCAGCGUCAGCUAGGUCUCAAUAUCGGCUACAUCUGGACCAGGAAAAGAGAAAGCAUGCGAGCAAUGCUCAAAGAGAAAAGAGAAAA